rnacentral:rRNA from 1 species
AUUGAACGCUGGCGGAAUGCUUUACACAUGCAAGUCGAACGGUAGAGGGGGCAACCCUUGAGAGUGGCGAACGGGUGAGUAAUAUAUCGGAACGUGCCCAGUCGUGGGGGAUAACGUAGUGAAAGUUACGCUAAUACCGCAUACGAUCUAAGGAUGAAAGCGGGGGACUCGCAAGAGCCUCGCGCGAUUGGAGCGGCCGAUAUCAGAUUAGGUAGUUGGUAGGGUAAAGGCCUACCAAGCCAACGAUCUGUAGCUGGUCUGAGAGGACGACCAGCCACACUGGAACUGAGACACGGUCCAGACUCCUACGGGAGGCAGCAGUGGGGAAUUUUGGACAAUGGGCGAAAGCCUGAUCCAGCCAUUCCGCGUGCAGGAUGAAGGCCCUCGGGUUGUAAACUGCUUUUGUACGGAACGAAAAGGUUUCCAUUAAUACUGGGAGCUCAUGACGGUACCGUAAGAAUAAGCACCGGCUAACUACGUG